rnacentral:lncRNA from 1 species
GUGUAAGGCAAGUACGUUUUCUCAAUUAGAAAAGCCGUAUGUUGGGAUCGGGGAUGCCUCUGUGAAAGCUCUGUAGCACUGGGGCUUUUUGUUCUGUGUUCUAAUCUUUCCCUCCUACUCCACAGACAUUAUUUAUUCUAAGCUUCCCCCUAUGCAUCAGUUUAUAGGUAACAAGCUUCUCCCCUUCUUUUCUGGGACAGGUUCUCACUGUACAUCCCUGACUGGCCUGGAAUUCAUUAUGUAGACUAGGCUGGCCUCGAACUCAGAAAGAUCCAUCAUCUCCUCUAUUCUCUAUGUGCUGGGAUUAUAGGC